GGGUUGUGAGGUUAAGCGACUAAGCGUACACGGUGGAUGCCCUGGCAGUCAGAGGCGAUGAAGGACGUGCUAAUCUGCGAUAAGCGUCGGUAAGGUGAUAUGAACCGUUAUAACCGGCGAUUUCCGAAUGGGGAAACCCAGUGUGAUUCGUCACACUAUCAUUAACUGAAUCCAUAGGUUAAUGAGGCGAACCGGGGGAACUGAAACAUCUAAGUACCCCGAGGAAAAGAAAUCAACCGAGAUUCCCCCAGUAGCGGCGAGCGAACGGGGAGCAGCCCAGAGCCUGAAUCAGUGUGUGUGUUAGUGGAAGCGUCUGGAAAGGCGUGCGAUACAGGGUGACAGCCCCGUACACAAAAAUGCACAUAUUGUGAGCUCGAUGAGUAGGGCGGGACACGUGGUAUCCUGUCUGAAUAUGGGGGGACCAUCCUCCAAGGCUAAAUACUCCUGACUGACCGAUAGUGAACCAGUACCGUGAGGGAAAGGCGAAAAGAACCCCGGCGAGGGGAGUGAAAAAGAACCUGAAACCGUGUACGUACAAGCAGUGGGAGCACGCUUAGGCGUGUGACUGCGUACCUUUUGUAUAAUGGGUCAGCGACUUAUAUUCUGUAGCAAGGUUAACCGAAUAGGGGAGCCGAAGGGAAACCGAGUCUUAACUGGGCGUUAAGUUGCAGGGUAUAGACCCGAAACCCGGUGAUCUAGCCAUGGGCAGGUUGAAGGUUGGGUAACACUAACUGGAGGACCGAACCGACUAAUGUUGAAAAAUUAGCGGAUGACUUGUGGCUGGGGGUGAAAGGCCAAUCAAACCGGGAGAUAGCUGGUUCUCCCCGAAAGCUAUUUAGGUAGCGCCUCGUGAAUUCAUCUCCGGGGGUAGAGCACUGUUUCGGCAAGGGGGUCAUCCCGACUUACCAACCCGAUGCAAACUGCGAAUACCGGAGAAUGUUAUCACGGGAGACACACGGCGGGUGCUAACGUCCGUCGUGAAGAGGGAAACAACCCAGACCGCCAGCUAAGGUCCCAAAGUCAUGGUUAAGUGGGAAACGAUGUGGGAAGGCCCAGACAGCCAGGAUGUUGGCUUAGAAGCAGCCAUCAUUUAAAGAAAGCGUAAUAGCUCACUGGUCGAGUCGGCCUGCGCGGAAGAUGUAACGGGGCUAAACCAUGCACCGAAGCUGCGGCAGCGACGCUUAUGCGUUGUUGGGUAGGGGAGCGUUCUGUAAGCCUGCGAAGGUGUGCUGUGAGGCAUGCUGGAGGUAUCAGAAGUGCGAAUGCUGACAUAAGUAACGAUAAAGCGGGUGAAAAGCCCGCUCGCCGGAAGACCAAGGGUUCCUGUCCAACGUUAAUCGGGGCAGGGUGAGUCGACCCCUAAGGCGAGGCCGAAAGGCGUAGUCGAUGGGAAACAGGUUAAUAUUCCUGUACUUGGUGUUACUGCGAAGGGGGGACGGAGAAGGCUAUGUUGGCCGGGCGACGGUUGUCCCGGUUUAAGCGUGUAGGCUGGUUUUCCAGGCAAAUCCGGAAAAUCAAGGCUGAGGCGUGAUGACGAGGCACUACGGUGCUGAAGCAACAAAUGCCCUGCUUCCAGGAAAAGCCUCUAAGCAUCAGGUAACAUCAAAUCGUACCCCAAACCGACACAGGUGGUCAGGUAGAGAAUACCAAGGCGCUUGAGAGAACUCGGGUGAAGGAACUAGGCAAAAUGGUGCCGUAACUUCGGGAGAAGGCACGCUGAUAUGUAGGUGAAGUCCCUCGCGGAUGGAGCUGAAAUCAGUCGAAGAUACCAGCUGGCUGCAACUGUUUAUUAAAAACACAGCACUGUGCAAACACGAAAGUGGACGUAUACGGUGUGACGCCUGCCCGGUGCCGGAAGGUUAAUUGAUGGGGUUAGCGCAAGCGAAGCUCUUGAUCGAAGCCCCGGUAAACGGCGGCCGUAACUAUAACGGUCCUAAGGUAGCGAAAUUCCUUGUCGGGUAAGUUCCGACCUGCACGAAUGGCGUAAUGAUGGCCAGGCUGUCUCCACCCGAGACUCAGUGAAAUUGAACUCGCUGUGAAGAUGCAGUGUACCCGCGGCAAGACGGAAAGACCCCGUGAACCUUUACUAUAGCUUGACACUGAACAUUGAGCCUUGAUGUGUAGGAUAGGUGGGAGGCUUUGAAGUGUGGACGCCAGUCUGCAUGGAGCCGACCUUGAAAUACCACCCUUUAAUGUUUGAUGUUCUAACGUUGACCCGUAAUCCGGGUUGCGGACAGUGUCUGGUGGGUAGUUUGACUGGGGCGGUCUCCUCCUAAAGAGUAACGGAGGAGCACGAAGGUUGGCUAAUCCUGGUCGGACAUCAGGAGGUUAGUGCAAUGGCAUAAGCCAGCUUGACUGCGAGCGUGACGGCGCGAGCAGGUGCGAAAGCAGGUCAUAGUGAUCCGGUGGUUCUGAAUGGAAGGGCCAUCGCUCAACGGAUAAAAGGUACUCCGGGGAUAACAGGCUGAUACCGCCCAAGAGUUCAUAUCGACGGCGGUGUUUGGCACCUCGAUGUCGGCUCAUCACAUCCUGGGGCUGAAGUAGGUCCCAAGGGUAUGGCUGUUCGCCAUUUAAAGUGGUACGCGAGCUGGGUUUAGAACGUCGUGAGACAGUUCGGUCCCUAUCUGCCGUGGGCGCUGGAGAACUGAGGGGGGCUGCUCCUAGUACGAGAGGACCGGAGUGGACGCAUCACUGGUGUUCGGGUUGUCAUGCCAAUGGCACUGCCCGGUAGCUAAAUGCGGAAGAGAUAAGUGCUGAAAGCAUCUAAGCACGAAACUUGCCCCGAGAUGAGUUCUCCCUGACUCCUUGAGAGUCCUGAAGGAACGUUGAAGACGACGACGUUGAUAGGCCGGGUGUGUAAGCGCAGCGAUGCGUUGAGCUAACCGGUACUAAUGAACCGUGAGGCUUAACCUUACAACGCCGAAGCUGUU
rnacentral:rRNA from 1 species